AGCGAACGCUGGCGGCAGGCCUAACACAUGCAAGUCGAACGAACUCUUCGGAGUUAGUGGCGGACGGGUGAGUAACACGUGGGAACGUGCCUUUAGGUUCGGAAUAACUCAGGGAAACUUGUGCUAAUACCGAAUGUGCCCUUCGGGGGAAAGAUUUAUCGCCUUUAGAGCGGCCCGCGUCUGAUUAGCUAGUUGGUGGGGUAAUGGCUCACCAAGGCUACGAUCAGUAGCUGGUCUGAGAGGAUGACCAGCCACAUUGGGACUGAGACACGGCCCAAACUCCUACGGGAGGCAGCAGUGGGGAAUCUUGCGCAAUGGGCGAAAGCCUGACGCAGCCAUGCCGCGUGGAUGAUGAAGGUCUUAGGAUUGUAAAAUCCUUUCACCGGUGAAGAUAAUGACUGUAGCCGGAGAAGAAGCCCCGGCUAACUACGUGCCAGCAGCCGCCGUAA
rnacentral:rRNA from 1 species